CAGUAGAGGUUUUUUUGUGAGUGCUUCCGGAGAAUAACCUCAGACAACAGUGACAUCACUGUGGUUUCCUGUCGGCACGGCAACCGUCACCCUCGGAGGCAGAGACACGACAUGUGAGAGAUGUGAUGCUUUCUUCGCUUCACACCUCGUCCCAUCUCUCCGUCUCCGUCUCUCACCAGCUCGCUUUAGAUCUUGUUUUCAAUACGAGUUUGGAACAACAUGAGGGUGAAUAAAUAGUGACAGAUUUUCAUUACUGGAUGAACUCUCUCUAACUCAGAAGUGAGGGGCAGAAGAGGAAGAUAAACAGUGGAGGAGGAGGAUGGUGGUUGACUGAUGCCACAGACGCUUCGGCUCCAUGUCGGGGUCAGUAGCAGUUUUCAACUGGCCACUCGUAGCGUGUGAAGAGCGAACGGAAAACGCCCGGUAUAUGAGGGCAACGGUAUUAUCUGAUUGAUGAGAAAGAGCAAAAGAAAAAGAAAUCAGAUAAAGUGACUGUGGUUUUGUGUGGAGAAGUGAAGCAGGUUUUGGCUUGUUUGGUGACUGUCUGUCAGUCAGAUAACAUGUGACCCCUCAUCCACUUACACACAUUCAUCUAUAUUCAAAAUAUAUUAGAACAUUUAUUUUGCUUAAAGACAACAAUGAUUCCUUUUUUUAGAACCAUUUUUGUUUGUAAUAAAAAAA
ensembl:lncRNA